GGGUUCCCUGGGAGCGUCCAGUCAGGCCAUGGGCCAGAACUGCCCUUCCCUUGUUGCUGCCUCCCAGAUCCACGUGGACUUGACUCAUUUUAGAAGCUGCUCACCCCAUUGAUGUUAUAACCAGGGACUGCAUACAUCACAAUUGGCAGGACCUGCUCAUGUUUGGCAAAAUGGAAGCGUUCUGGAAGUUCCUUCUUCUUAUAGACAUUGAGGGGAGGGUGUGCGUGCUUCAGCGCUUGGUCAACAGCUUCCUCCUGCCCGGGCUUGGGCAGGAGCACCCCAAAGCUGCCGUAGUCCACGAUAUCACACUUGACCAAGUCCCUGAAGCUGAUGUAGUUGCUCAGGAGGAUCUCGGUGACAUUGGGCUUCUUUUUCACGAUGGUCAUGCCGUGGUCUGAUGUGAUGAUGACGUUGAGGUGCAGGGUCAAGCCGUGCCUCUGGAUGGCUUCCAACAGGUACCCGAUGGGUCUGUCGAUGGGCCGAAUCCUCACCCUCCUGUCCUCUGUCUUGGGCCUGAAGCGGUGCCCCAUGUCAUCAGGCUCCCUGUAGUACAGAGUCACGAAGUCAAGGUCCGCCUUGGUGAACCAGUUCAUGAUGAUCUCGAUGUUCUCCUGCUCUUCUGCCUCAUUGUCCUUCGGGUGAGGGUAUGACUCCACCAGGGACCGCCAGCCGGCCUCCCCUUCGUACUUGGCACCUCCCUGGGAUAGUGGAAUGAUGCCCUUUCCCUCCCCUGCAAGGCCAAGAAGAGAAGACUGUCAGGGCCAUUUCUCCCAUCUUUCUCUUAUUGUGCAAAGCCCAGUGUGCCAGCCUCCCUGCCCCGGGCCAGAGGCAUCAGAAACACGUGGGCUGUGGACGGAAUUGGGUGGGGCUGGGCUUCCUUCCUGGCAUCACCAGGAUCUCAUGGAAUCUAAAACACUCCUAGUUGUGAGACGUGUCUUUAUUUUACAUACUCCUGUGAAGAAAAAUGCUGCCAAUGACAGCAGGACGCGCCAGUGAUUGUAGGAUGCAUUUCGAUUCUGGACGGCAAAAUGAACAAAAAGUGCCUUGGGAUGGAGGAAGAAUGGUACUAAGUUGGCGAUGGAGGCAGAGGAGGACAAGACACAGAAAAAAGGAGGAGAUGGACCAAGGAGGCAGAGGGACCAAGGAAGCAGAGGGGCGUGAUGCAGCCACAAGCCCAGGAGUGCUGGCAGCCACCAGACAUGGAAGAAGCAAAGACAGAUUCUCCCCUAGAGCCUCGAGAGGGAAUAUGGACCCCUGACACCUUGAUUUUGGACUUCUGGCCUCCAGACUUUCUGUUGCUCUAAGCAUCCUAUGGCACUUUGUGACAACAGCUGCAGGGAACAAAUACACCUGUGCCCUCAGUCUCAGGUGGUUCCAGCUACUCCUCUCACUCCAGGCCUUGGAAUCCCGAGCAGUCAUGACCUUUUUGCUCCAUUGCCCUGGUGUUUCGGGCUGACCCUUCCUCUUGUGUGAUGCGUGGACCUGCAGCAUUGGCAUCCACUGGGGGCUCAUUGGAAAUGUAGAUUCUCAGGCCCCACCCCAGACCCACUGAAACACAGUCUGCAUUUUAACCAGAUCCCCAGGUGAUUCACGAACACAUUCAAAUUUGAGAAGCACCAGUGGAAGCUCUCAGGUGGCAACUAGAGCAUUUCUCCUCCCGCAAGUAUCCUAGUUUCUUCAUGUCAGUUCUGUUAAAUAUGGUGGGGAGAUUUUGUAAAAAGAAACCCAACCCUUAGCUUAGAACUGCACAUUGAUGUGUUAUGGAUGCAAUGGCGCGAUGUCUGAACUUUGCUGUAAAAGAUUCAAGGAGGGAGGGAAGGAGGAAAAGAAGGAAGGCAGGGAGGAAGGAGAAGGCUUUGGGUGGGGACAGUAGAAUAAGACUGGUAAAACGUGAACAGGUUCUUGCAGCUCCGUGUUGGGUAGAGGGGGCUUCACUGCGCAGUUUUCUCUGCUUUUUCUGCAUGUUGGAAAUUUCCAUAAUGAAAUGUUAGGAAACAUCCUGGUUUCCCAGCCUUCCUUAUGUUUAGUUUUUUUCCAUGGCUCUGUUUUUUUCUCUCCUCAUGGUAAUGGCUGGUGCUGGAGAGACAUCUUUUCUGUCUCGGCUUGUGCUUUUCUUUGCUCUGUUUGUUCAUGUUUGUGGCUUUCUUGGCUUCUGGGACUUUUUCAGCAGAGAGUUAUUGCUGGGGGAGUAGGAUGGGAGCUGAUUAAGGUUUAUGGCCUUGUCUAACUGGGUUUCCAACAACAUCUGCUAGCCUUGUAUUGUUACUGGCAGCAGGAAUUUAAUUUCCCUUCUCUUUCUCUACUCUCUCACCUCUUUUAGACUUUGUCCACUGGCCAGAGUAUCACGUUUGGAAGCUUUGGCUCUCUGAUUUACAUGUGAUUUGCAUAUUACAAUCUAGUCCAGGGAUUCCAAUUAGGGGGUGAGUUUACCUCCAAAGGAACAUGGGGAACUGUCUGGAGACAUUUUUGGUUGGCUCGACUAGGAGAGGGAUGCUGCUGGCAUCUAGUGAGUAGAAGCUGGGGAUACUGCUAAACACUUUAUAAUGCACAGGGCAGCCUCCCCGCCCCCACCCUGGUCCCCAAGACAAAGAGUGAUCUGGCCCCAAAAGUCAACGGUGGGACAUAGAGACAGCCCGAUCUAGUCUUAAAGAUCAUCCAAGUGCACUUGGCCACACUUUCUUUGCUUCUGUCCCAUGAAGGAGAGGUGGAUUCAUGGCUUAUGACAACAUCCAAAGGAAAGUUUACUUCUUAUAGGUUGAUUUUGGCAGCGAAUGCAAGGGAUGGCUCAUUUGUGUAGGUUGUGCCCUGCACACCUCCAGGGGGCACCACCCACAAAAUAUUCAUGAAAACAACCCUCUCAGAAUUGCCUACACAGCUCUAAGUGGUUGUUCUGGUUUUGGGGUUGCCCUAGGGGUUCUGGAACUGGGAGAGACUUUAUAUCUGGCUCCCAGGGGCCAUGAGCAUGCCAUCGAGGGUCCUUUACAGAAGGGAGGAAAAGUGGAACUGUGAGGACCCCACUUGCAUUAUUCUCGACCAUCAUCUCAUUAUGGAGUUUCUCCUUUUCACCCCUGGGCCAUGGCCUUUGGACUAGAUCUAAAAUUGUCAGAUUAUAAUAUCACAGUUUUGUUUGAAAUAUGGUGGUGAUAGCUUCUUAUUUUCCAUCAGUUCCUUGGGGGAGGAAAUACAUGCUGUUGCCAUAAGACUUUCUAUCCACCCACUCUUUGCUUGGCGGGAUUUCCUUAGUUUCACCAGCAUAAUUUAUUCUCGCUGGCCCUCAAUCACUUUGCAAUAAAAACUGAGAUUGCAAAAAUGUUCAUUGUCAUUACCAGUGAUGGAGCAGUAAGUACAGGCUUCUGGAGAGAGAGGGAGGAAAUCAGGUGAUUUAAAAUAGCAGAAUGAGCUGCUCACCCCCAGAGAAUGGCUUUUCAUUUUGGCAGGAUCUGAGGGGAAUUACAACAGAGUUCAGGGGCACGGAGGGACAGGGCUGGGAGGUAUGGUCACCCAUUGCAUUGGGAGCCUGUGCCCUGUGGGCAGCCCCAUGGAUGGAGCUUUGAUUUCUUGGGCCUCAGUACUGGGUCACUGGCUGCAAACCCAUCAUCACACUGUUGGGCCCAGGCCGGAUGGUAGACCACUGAGGUUUCUGCCAGGCCUCUUCCCUUACUCCUCCCUCUGAUGCUAGUCUUGACUCCCCCCUGGGGGCCCACCCCCUCCAUGGGUGACAUGGUUUGUGUGGGGCUUGCUAUUGCUCGCCUUGACCUGGAGGUGGGCGUAGGGGCCCAGCUUGGGUGGUCACCAUCAUUCCAUCCCCCUGGCCACGGAGAUUGGUUGUGAGAAGCAAACUGGCCCAGUGAAAGUCAAUCUCGGUCACUCUUAGGAAAGAGAAGUAGACAGAAGAAUUGGAAGAAGUAAAGAGAGAGCUCCAUCAUUCUGAUGACAUAGUUUGGGGAUCUGGAUGUAGCCAUGCCUAUAGCUUUGGGUUAAUUAUAUGUUACAGUUUCAGUCACGCUCCUCACAAAAGAUAGGGUGGCGUCCUGAGCCCCAGCGCCUCAGAAUGUGACCUUAUUUGCAAAUAGGGGCAUUGCAGAGGUGAGGUCAUCCUGGAGUAGUCCAUUAAGCCAAGAAACUGGUGUCCUUAUCAUAAGAUGGCCAUGUGAAGACAGAGACCCAGGAAGAACCUUGUGGGUGGAUGGAGGCUGAGAGAGAGGCAUCUCCAAGCCAAGGAAAGACAGAGAUCACCAGCAAACCAGGGGAGGCUUUCAGAGGGAGUAUGGCUAGAUCAACAUCUUGAUUUCACGCUUCCGGUUUCUACAACCAUGAGACAAUGAAUUUCUGUUGUUUUAAGCCAUAUAGUUUGUGGUACUUUGUUCUGGCAGCCCUAGGAAAUUAAUAGAAGUACUUUCUUUUUCUUUUUUUUUUUUUUUUNNNNNNNNNNNNNNNNNNNNNNNNNNNNNNNNNNNNNNNNNNNNNNNNNNNNNNNNNNNNNNNNNNNNNNNNNNNNNNNNNNNNNNNNNNNNNNNNNNNNNNNNNNNNNNNNNNNNNNNNNNNNNNNNNNNNNNNNNNNNNNACCUACACCACAGCUCACGGCAACGCCGGAUCGUUAACCCACUGAGCAAGGGCAGGGACCGAACCCGCAACCUCAUGGUUCCUAGUCGGAUUCGUUAACCACUGUGCCACGACGGGAACUCCAAUAGAAGUACUUUCAAAUGAAUAAUCCUCCUCUUUCUCCUCCUCCUUCUAAAUCAUCCUCAUCUUCAUCCCUUUGCCUGAGCAAAAGAAAGGGUCUCCUCCAGAUGUGGAGACUGAUGUGCAGAGUCCAGACUCCAUGGUCACUCAGUGCCCCUCUUGCAUUGGCUCCCGGGCCUUGGGUUAGACCAUAAGUCUAGGGCUUUCUGGAGCUCCAUUGGAGAACCACCCCUAUUACCUGUUGCCUUUACACAAAGGCUGAUGCUCACCUUCUGGUUAUCUGAGCUCCAUCCAGGACUUAUUCAUGGUAGGCAGAAUUAAGAUGGUCCCAAGGAGGGGGGAUGCGCUGGGGUUUGGGAUGGAAAUACUAUAAAAUUGGGUUGUGAUGAUUGUUAUACAACUAUAAAUGUAAUAAAAUCU
rnacentral:lncRNA from 1 species